rnacentral:rRNA from 1 species
UACGUAGGGUGCGAGCGUUAAUCGGAAUUACUGGGCGUAAAGCGUGCGCAGGCGGUUUUGUAAGCCAGAUGUGAAAUCCCCGGGCUUAACCUGGGAAUGGCAUUUGGGACUGCAAGGCUUGAGUGCGGCAGAGGAGACUGGAAUUCCUGGUGCAGCAGUGAAAUGCGUAGAUAUCAGGAGGAACACCGAUGGCGAAGGCAGGUCUCUGGGCCACUACUGACGCUGAGAAGCGAAAGCAUGGGGAGCGAACAGG